rnacentral:rRNA from 1 species
CAAAGGUUUGGUCCUGACUUUUCUGCCAGCUCUAGCUAAGCUUACACAUGCAAGUAUCCGCAUCCCCGUGAGAAUGCCCUGUAGUUCCCUACCCGAGAACAAGGAGCUGGUAUCAGGCACAUCCAAUCUAGCCCACGACACCUUGCUAAGCCACACCCUCAAGGGUACUCAGCAGUGAUAAACAUUGAUAUACAUAUAAGUGUAAACUUGACUCAGCCAAAGCUAAAACAGGGCCGGUAAAACUCGUGCCAGCCACCGCGGUUAUACGGGAGGCCCAAGUUGCUAGGAGUCGGCGUAAAGGGUGGUUAAGAACAAAACUAAAAUUAAAGUCGAACAUCUUCCGAGCUGUUAUACGCAUCCGAAGGUAAGAAGCUCAAAUGCGAAAGUAGCUUUAUAUCUUCUGAAU